UUACGGCCACGUCAUGCUGAAACGUCAUGGUUCUGUACGAUCACCGAAGUUAAGCAACGUCAAUCAUUGUCAGUACCAAGAUGGGUGACCUCUUGGGAAUACCAGAUGCUGUAAU